rnacentral:rRNA from 1 species
AAUAUUGGACAAUGGGGGAAACCCUGAUCCAGCCAUGACGCGUGAGUGAAGAAGGCCUUAGGGUUGUAAAGCUCUUUCGGAUGCGAAGAUAAUGACGGUAACAUCAGAAGAAGCCCCGGCUAAAUUCGUGCCAGCAGCCGCGGUAAUACGAAUGGGGCAAGCGUUGUUCGGAAUCACUGGGCUUAAAGCGUAUGUAGGCGGAAAUGAAAGUCAGGAGUGAGCUCCCCGGGCUCAACCCGGGAACUGCUUUUGAAACUCCAUUUCUAGAAUCCGGUAGAGGUUAGGAGAAUUCCCAGUGUAGAGGUGAAAUUCGCAGAUAUUGGGAGGAAUACCAGUGGCGUAGGCGCCUAACUGGACCGGCAUUGACGCUGAGAUACGAAAGCGUGGGGAGCAAA